rnacentral:misc_RNA from 1 species
GAUGAAGAACGUAGCGAAAUGCGAUACUUGGUGUGAAUUGCAGAAUCCCGUGAAUCAUCGAGUCUUUGAACGCACAUUGCGCCCCCUGGUAUUCCGGGGGGCAUGCCUGUCCGAGCGUCAUUGCUGCCCUCAAGCACGGCUUGUGUGUUGGGCCCCCGUCCCCGGUUUCCCCCGGGGACGGGCCCGAAAGGCAGCGGCGGCACCGCGUCCGGUCCUCGAGCGUAUGGGGCUUUGUCACCCGCUCUGUAGGCCCGGCCGGCGCCAGCCGACACCCAACUUUAUUUCUAAGGUUGACCUCGGAUCAGGUAGGGAUACCCGCUGAACUUAAGCAUAUCAAUAAGCGGAGGA